rnacentral:rRNA from 1 species
UAGGGAAUCUUCCACAAUGGGCGAAAGCCUGAUGGAGCAACGCCGCGUGUGUGAUGAAGGGUUUCGGCUCGUAAAACACUGUUGUAAGAGAAGAAUGACAUUGAGAGUAACUGUUCAAUGUGUGACGGUAUCUUACCAGAAAGGGACGGCUAACUACGUACCAG